UGCCACUCUAAAGGCCCAUGAUGAGCAGU
rnacentral:piRNA from 1 species